rnacentral:tRNA from 1 species
AAGAAUAUAGUUUAAUAAAAAUGUUAGAUUGUAAAUCUAAAGUUGUUUGUUCUUG